UGGUGGAGUGAUUUGUCUGGUUAAUUCCGAUAACGAACGAGACCUUAACCUGCUAAAUAGAAUGUCUGUUUUCUUAACAGGCAGUCUUCUUAGAGGGACUAACUACAUUUAGUGGUUGGAAGUUUGAGGCAAUAACA
rnacentral:rRNA from 1 species